AUGAACCAGAGCAUCCCUUGGCUGUGGCAGCAGCAGCAGCAGCAGCAGCAGCAGACUUUUAUAUCCGCACCACAGAGCACUAGCAAGAGGCAGGUUAACCACCAGAACUGCCCGUGGGCUAAACAUGGCAGGGUACAGUGUGACAUUUCAAUGUGUAAUGAUGAAAUCUGGACAAUCAGCAUUUUGAUUAUCUCAGACACACUUUCUUUGUGUUGGGGACAUUCAAAAAUCCUCUUUGCGAUCGUGAUCGGGGACUCCACCGUGGGCAAGUCGUGCCUCUUGCACCGCUUCACCCAGGGCCGCUUCCCCGGGUUGCGCUCCCCUGCCUGCGACCCCACGGUCGGCGUGGACUUCUUCUCCCGCCUGCUGGAGAUCGAGCCGGGCAAAAGGAUAAAGCUGCAGCUCUGGGACACGGCGGGACAGGAGCGGUUCAGAUCAAUAACUCGAUCCUAUUACCGCAACUCAGUUGGUGGAUUUUUAGUAUUUGACAUUACUAACCGACGAUCUUUUGAACAUGUAAAAGAUUGGCUAGAAGAAGCAAAAAUGCACGUACAGCCAUUUCAGRUUGUAUUUCUACUGGUGGGACAUAAGUGUGAUUUAGCUUCACAACGUCAAGUGACAAGGGAAGAAGCYGAAAAACUGUCRGCAGACUGUGGAAUGAAGUAUAUAGAAACCUCAGCAAAAGAUGCUACAAAUGUAGAGGAAUCCUUCACAAUCUUGACAAGAGACAUAUAUGAACUUAUUAAAAAGGGAGAAAUUUGUAUUCAGGAUGGCUGGGAAGGAGUUAAAAGUGGUUUUGUUCCAAAUACUGUGCAUUCUUCCGAGGAAGCAGUAAAGCCCAGGAAGGAGUGCUUUUGCUGACUUCAAACAUGCCAAAGAACMAGAACAAAUUGGAUGUCGCUUCAGGAUAAAUAUCAACAUUAAUGGCAGAAGGAUGCAAUGAUAGCAUUUUAAAAAGUUAGGCCUAUACUAACACUAUUUUGUAAGCUAUUUGAUUCAGAGCACUAUGCUUGUUACACUACAAGAUUGGGUAUUUUGCUAAAUUA